rnacentral:rRNA from 1 species
GGUUAAGUUAGGAAGGGCGCAUGGUGAAUGCCUUGGUACUAGGAGCCGAUGAAGGACGGGACUAACACCGAUAUGCCUCGGGGAGCUGUAAGUAAGCUUUGAUCCGGG